AGCCGGGGAGUUAGCGGUGCCCUGUACCUGCAAUCCGCUACAGCAGGGGUGAUGCCAAUCUGAGGACUGUAUCUUGCAGAGCUGCCCUUUAUAAGUGGCGUUGACGUCCGGGUCUCGCGCAACAGGAAUCUGUGAACCGUGUCAGGGCAGGAAUGCAGCAGCACUAAGCAGACGCUCCUGUGUGCCGCGAGGGUGCCUGGGCCGAGUUAACUGUAAAGGUAACGUCUGUGGGAGCAUUUCGAGGUGCGGCGCGC
rnacentral:SRP_RNA from 1 species